rnacentral:lncRNA from 1 species
GAAAAAAUAAAAUCAUUAUUUAAUCAACAGUGAGCUAAUCUGGUAUGGCACAGGAAAGUUUUUGAAUAUUAACAAUAGGUUAAUUCUGUAAUUUAAAAUAGAUGACAAUGCUAUCGCAACCACCACCAUGUUUUUAACAUCUGUAUGCAUAAUUUUUCAAGGAAGAAAGAACCUUGAAGCAUCCCGUGGCCUUAAUCUCUUAGAAAUCCUAAGGGAUGCUUGAGCCAAUUAAUAAAGAGCCCCUUCACUUGAAGUAUUUGAAAGCCAACAUUUGUGGUGAACAGGCAACAUCAGCUAAUCACAUAUUAAGGAUGAUUCCUUUGUUCACUGUGUGAAAGUGGUUUGUAGCAGACAUUCUUAUAUUCCCAUACUCAAUAUUUAUUUUCUCAAAGCCAAACUAAUUCCAAGAGCUAAUGUGACCUUUCAAUAGUAUUUUUUGCCCAUCUCUUAGAAAACAAUUUAAGGGGUUUCACUAUAUUAGGGGGAUUUUCCAUUUUUUCCUACUCUUCAAAAGAUUUGUCUUUCAUCUUCUUUUUCUUUCUCUCCAGCUACAAAAUGUGCUCAUUACGGGCCUAUCUGCCAGCAACAAAAGGGAGGAGACUCCUAUUUCAGCAGAAUUCAGAGGUAUAUGACAUGAAGAAGUCUGACCCUGAUGUCAACAUAUCCAAGUCUCCUCCUACAGCCACCACUUAACUACCACUGUGACUGAUCACUUAAGUCUCCCAAGGCCUUCAUAUAUUUAGCUAAAAAAUGGGGAUAAUAAUAGUAAUUAUUUCACAGACCUUUUGUGAAGUUUGAAUAAAAUCAUGAAUGUAAAGCA